rnacentral:piRNA from 1 species
GAGAAACAAGGUGGCAAUGUGGCUCAGGUC